AAGUAAUUUAUUUGGAUUCUUUUUUGGAAUUCAAUAAUCUAACUUUGUGGUAAUAUUGAAAAAUUGAAUUUGAGUUUAAAGAUGAUAUCUUUUAUUUUUAAAAGGUGUCGACUCAAGUAUUUUUUAUCAACCUCUUUUAUUAUUUGACUGAAUUAUCAAGUAUAUUGAUCAUAUGAUUAAUAAAAAAGUUUAUAAA
rnacentral:misc_RNA from 1 species